rnacentral:rRNA from 1 species
GAUGAAGGUGGCGAGCGUUGUUCGGAAUCACUGGGCCUAAAGCGCACGUAGGCGGCGGCGUAAGUUGGAUGUGAAAUCCCCCGGCCCAACCGGGGAACUGCGUCCAGUACUGCGUUGCUUGAGGAUCCAAGGGGUGCAUGGAAUUCCCGGUGGAGCGGUGAAAUGCGUUGAUAUCGGGAGGAACUCCGGCGGCGAAAGCGGUGCACUGGUGGAUUACUGACGCUGAGGUGCGAAAGCCAGGGGAGCAAACGGG